rnacentral:lncRNA from 1 species
CCAUAACAAACAUACCCGCAUGUCACUAUUUUACACUUACACCACGUGUGACACCACACCAAGGUCCAAAAGGAAGUAACUUCUAACACCAACUUCAUGGCAGGUUUGCAUGGUGCUUUUCAGAUUAGCAGAAAUGUAAGGACUUCACCCUGGAGAUUUUAAAAUUAAAAUGAGUCAUGAUGAUCAGAAAAUAAAGAGGGGGAACGAAGGCAGAAAUGAAAAAGAGGUGGUAAACUCACACGAGGGCAUCAUUUACAUGAAAAAAUUUUGCCAUUUCAGCUUGUUUUCUUGCAAGUACAAGGAAAAUUAAAUUAAAAACACCAACUGGGAGGAACUCCAGCUUCAAACAAUUUUUGCUUCUUAUCUUGACUGGUGCUGGCACCUUGCCCUCUCCUGAGUGAACCCUGACAAUUUCUAAAGUAACGAACCAAAGUCAUCUCACAAGAUUUCGUCAAACACCCUGUAGAAUCACAGGUCCAGCUGACAGCUAAGGAGGACCAGAUCAUGCUCUUACCUUUAGCACACAAAGGUAAAAAUUCCAGCAUGACAAGAUAACGUUCACUUGUGCACAUACCACCCUUGGACACACCAUUUUGCUUAGCUGGAAGAGUAGCUUCCUCUGUCCUUCCUAAAGUGUUGUGACACCUACUCGU